rnacentral:rRNA from 1 species
GACGAACGCUGGCGGCGUGCCUAAUACAUGCAAGUCGAACGCACUCUCGUUUAGAUUGAAGGAGCUUGCUCCUGAUUGAUAAACAUUUGAGUGAGUGGCGGACGGGUGAGUAACACGUGGGUAACCUGCCCUAAAGUGGGGGAUAACAUUUGGAAACAGGUGCUAAUACCGCAUAAAACCUAACACCGCAUGGUGUAGGGUUGAAAGAUGGUUUCGGCUAUCACUUUAGGAUGGACCCGCGGUGCAUUAGUUAGUUGGUGAGGUAAAGGCUCACCAAGACCGUGAUGCAUAGCCGACCUGAGAGGGUAAUCGGCCACACUGGGACUGAGACACGGCCCAGACUCCUACGGGAGGCAGCAGUAGGGAAUCUUCCACAAUGGACGAAAGUCUGAUAGAGCAAACGCCGCGUGAGUGAAGAAGGUUUUCGGAUCGUAAAACUCUGUUGUUGGAGAAGAAUGUAUCUGAUAGUAACUGAUCAGGUAGUGACGGUAUCCAACCAGAAAG